rnacentral:rRNA from 1 species
AUGGUAGGAUAGAGGCCUACCAUGGUUGUAACGGGUGACGGAGAAUUAGGGUUCGAUUCCGGAGAGGGCGCCUGAGAAAUGGCGACCACAUCCAAGGAAGGCAGCAGGCGCGCAAAUUACCCAAUCCUGACACAGGGAGGUAGUGACAAGAAAUAACAAUGCAGGGCUUUUUCAAGUCUUGCAAUUGGAAUGAGAACGACUUAAAAUCCCUAACGAGGAUCAAUUGGAGGGCAAGUCUGGUGCCAGCAGCCGCGGUAAUUCCAGCUCCAAUAGCGUAUUUUAAAGUUGCUGCAGUUAAAAAGCUCGUAGUUGGAUUUUGGGACGGUUUCGUUGGUCUGCCGUUUGGUUUGUACCGACGCGAUCGUUCUUCCGUCUGAUGAACAUUUCUGUGCUUCAUUGUGUGGGGAUGGGACUCAGGCCAUUUACUUUGAGAAAAUUAGAGUGUUCCACGCAGGCUUGUGCGCAUGAAUAGAUUAGCAUUGAAUAAUGAAAUAGGACUUUGGUUCUAUUUUGUUGGUUUCUAGGACCGAAGUAAUGAUUAAUAGGGAUAGUUGGGGGCAUUGGUAUGCCGUGGCCAGAGGUGAAAUUCUUGGACUCUCGGCCGACUAACUUCUGCGAAAGCAUUUGCCCAGGAUGUUUUCAUUAAUCAAGAACGAAAGUUAGGGGAUCGAAGACGAUUAGAUACCGUCGUAGUCUUAACCUUAAACGAUGCCGACUUGGGGUUGGAGGGUGUUAUUUAUGACUCCUUCAGCACCAUAUGAGAAAUUAAAGUUUUUGGGCUCUGGGGGGAGUAUGGUCGCAAGGCUGAAACUUAAAGGAAUUGACGGAGGGGCACCACCAGGCGUGGAGCUUGCGGCUCAAUUUGACCCAACACGGGGAAACUUUCCAGGUCAGGACAUAAUAAGGAUUGACAGAUUGAGAGCUCUUUCUUGAUUUUAUGGUUGGUGGUGCAUGGCCGUUCUUAGUUGGUGGCUUGGGUUGUCUGCUUAAUUGCGAUAACGAACGAGACCUUCACCUGCUAAAUAGCUACGCGAACCCCUGGUUCGUGGGCAGCUUCUUAGAGGGACAAUGUGAGAAAAUCACAUGGAAGUUGGAGGCAAUAACAGGUCCGUGAUGCCCUUAGAUGUCCUGGAAUGCACGCGCGCUACACUGAUCCGAGCAACAAGCUUUCCUUAGCCGAAGGGCUUGGGUAAUCUUUGAAAUCGGAUCGUGCUAGGGAUAGAUCAUUGCAAUUAUUGAUCUUGAACGAGGAAUGCCUCGUAUGCGCGGUUCAUCACACCGCACAGAUUACGUCCCUGCCCCUUGUACACACCGCCCGUCGCUCCUACCGAUUGAAUGACCCGGUGAAUUGUGCUGAUUGCUGCAAGU